GACGAACGCUGGCGGCGUGCUUAACACAUGCCAGUCGAACGGAAAGGCCCUGCUUGCCGGGUACUCGAGUGGCGAACGGGUGAGUAACACGUGGGCGAUCUGCCCUGCACUUCGGGAUAAGCCUGGGAAACUGGGUCUAAUACCGGAUAGGAGCCAUUUUUAGUGUGAUGGUUGGAAAGUUUUUUCGGUGUAGGAUGAGCUCGCGGCCUAUCAGCUUGUUGGUGGGGUAAUGGCCUACCAAGGCGGCGACGGGUAGCCGGCCUGAGAGGGUGGACGGCCACAUUGGGACUGAGAUACGGCCCAGACGCCUACGGGAGGCAGCAGUGGGGAAUAUUGCACAAUGGGCGCAAGCCUGAUGCAGCGACGCCGCGUGGGGGAUGACGGCCUUCGGGUUGUAAACUCCUUUCGCUAGGGACGAAGCUUUUUGUGACGGUACCUAGAUAAGAAGCACCGGCUAACUACGUG
rnacentral:rRNA from 1 species